CUCCAAACAUCCAUCCUGUGUUCAGGUUGAGCAGAGCUCAGUUUACAGCAAGCACGGACUCUCUGCCUCAAGUCCUCCUGCUUUCCUGGAAGUGCUGGUGAGCUGCUGGGAGAAUGAAGGGAGCUGGAGAUGGGUCAGGCUGGAUGUUCUCAAGCAGCUUCCCACACACCAGGGGUGAGGUGGUGUUGCAAACCAUGGGAUGAAACACCACCAGCUGAGGGGACGUCCCUCACGUGCAAGAUGCUAGAAAGCCCUUGUCCCAUGUGCCUGGCUGGCUCGGUGAAGUGGUCUGGGAUUUCAGGGAGUGGCAGGUGAUCACAGAGCUCUGUCACAGCCUGUUUUAUUCUGGAGAGCCAGUUUUGCACAGUGAGACCUAGAAACGUUGCCAUCUGGUUGGAAGUUUCUGCGC